rnacentral:rRNA from 1 species
GACGAACGCUGGCGGCGUGCUUAACACAUGCAAGUCGAACGGAAAGGCCCUGCUUUUGUGGGGUGCUCGAGUGGCGAACGGGUGAGUAACACGUGAGUAACCUGCCCUUGACUUUGGGAUAACUUCAGGAAACUGGGGCUAAUACCGGAUAGGAGCUCCUGCUGCAUGGUGGGGGUUGGAAAGUUUCGGCGGUUGGGGAUGGACUCGCGGCUUAUCAGCUUGUUGGUGGGGUAGUGGCUUACCAAGGCUUUGACGGGUAGCCGGCCUGAGAGGGGGACCGGACACACUAGGACUGAGCUAAGGCACAGACUCCUACGGGAGGCAGCAGUGGGGAGUAUUGUACAAUGGGAGGAAGCCUGAUGUAGCAACGCCGCGUGGGGGAUGACGGGCUGCGGGUUGUAAACCGCUGUCGCCUGUGACGAAGCGUGAGUGACGGUAACGGGUAAAGAAGCACCGGCUAACUACGUG